GGAAGGACUGUGCGAGUCGUUAUCGGAUCCACGUGGGCGUAAAGCGUGCGUAGGCGGCUUUUUAAGUCGGAUGUGAAAUCCCUGAGCUUAACUUAGGAAUUGCAUUCGAUACUGGAAAGCUAGAGUAUGGGAGAGGAUGGUAGAAUUCCAGGUGUAGCGGUGAAAUGCGUAGAGAUCUGGAGGAAUACCGAUGGCGAAGGCAGCCAUCUGGCCUAAUACUGACGCUGAGGUACGAAAGCAUGGGGAGCAAACAGGAUUAGAUACCCUGGUAGUCCACGAAA
rnacentral:rRNA from 1 species